GACGAACGCUGGCGGCGUGCUUAACACAUGCAAGUCGAACGGAAAGGCCCUGCUUUUGUGGGGUGCUCGAGUGGCGAACGGGUGAGUAACCCGUGAGUAACCUGCCCUUGACUUUGGGAUAACUUCAGGAAACUGGGGCUAAUCCCGGAUAGGAGCUCCUGCUGCAUGGUGGGGGUUGGUAUGUUUCGGCGGUUGGGGAUGGACUCGCGGCUUAUCAGCUUGUUGGUGGGGUAGUGGCUUACCAAGGCUUGGCCGGGUAGCCGGCCUGAGAGGGUGGCCAGCCACAUUGGGUCUGAGAUACGGACCAGACUCCAACGGGAGGCAGCAGUGGAGAGUGUAGCACAAUGGGCGGGAGGCUGAUGCAGCGACGCCGCGUGCGGUAAGACGUCCUGCGGGUAGGAAACCGCUUUCGUCUGUGACGAAGCGUGAAUGACGGUAAUGGGAAAAGAAGCACCGGCUAACUACGUG
rnacentral:rRNA from 1 species